UACGGAGGGUGCAAGCGUUGUUCGGAAUCACUGGGCGUAAAGGGCGAGUAGGCGGUCCGCUAAGUCUGAUGUGAAAGCCCGGGGCUCACCCCCGGAAGUGCAUUGGAAACUGACGGACUCGAGUCCCGGAGAGGAAGGUGGAAUUCCUGGUGUAGCGGUGAAAUGCGUAGAUAUCAGGAGGAACAUCGGAGGCGAAGGCGGCCUUCUGGACGGUGACUGACGCUGAUCCGCGAAAGCGUGGGGAGCAAACAGG
rnacentral:rRNA from 1 species